rnacentral:rRNA from 1 species
GACGAACGCUGGCGGCGUGCUUAACACAUGCUAGUCGAACGGAAAGGCCCUGCUUUUGUGGGGUGCUCGAGUGGCGAACGGGUGAGUAACACGUGAGUAACCUGCCCUUGACUUUGGGAUAACUUCAGGAAACUGGGGCUAAUACCGGAUAGGAGCUCCUGCUGCAUGGUGGGGGUUGGAAAGUUUCGGCGGUUGGGGAUGGACUCGCGGCUUAUCAGCUUGUUGGUGGGGUAGUGGCUUACCAAGGCUUUGACGGGUAGCCGGCCUGAGAGGGUGACCGGCCACAUUGGGACUGAGAUACGGCCCAGACUCCUACGGGAGGCAGCAGUGGGGAAUAUUGCACAAUGGGCGGAAGCCUGAUGCAGCAACGCCGCGUGCGGGAUGACGGCCUUCGGGUUGUAAACCGCUUUCGCCUGUGACGAAGCGUGAGUGACGGUAAUGGGUAAAGAAGCACCGGCUAACUACGUGCCAGCAGCCGCGGUGAUACGUAGGGUGCGAGCGUUGUCCGGAUUUAUUGGGCGUAAAGGGCUCGUAGGUGGUUGAUCGCGUCGGAAGUGUAAUCUUGGGGCUUAACCCUGAGCGUGCUUUCGAUACGGGUUGACUUGAGGAAGAUAGGGGAGAAUGGAAUUCCUGGUGGAGCGGUGGAAUGCGCAGAUAUCAGGAGGAACACCAGUGGCGAAGGCGGUUCUCUGGGCCUUUCCUGACGCUGAGGAGCGAAAGCGUGGGGAGCGAACAGGCUUAGAUACCCUGGUAGUCCACGCUGUAAACGGUGGGUACUAGGUGUGGGGUCCAUUCCACGGGUUCCGUGCCGUAGCUAACGCUUUAAGUACCCCGCCUGGGGGGUACGGCCGCAAGGCUAAAACUCAAAGGAAUUGACGGGGCCCCGCACAAGCGGCGGAGCAUGCGGAUUAAUUCGAUGCAACGCGUAGAACCUUACCUGGGUUUGACAUGGAUCGGUAGUGCUCAGAGAUGGGUGUGCCUCUUUUGGGGUCGGUUCACAGGUGGUGCAUGGCUGUCGUCAGCUCGUGUCGUGAGAUGUUGGGUUAAGUCCCGCAACGAGCGCAACCCUUGUUCACUGUUGCCAGCACGUUAUGGUGGGGACUCAGUGGAGACCGCCGGGGUCAACUCGGAGGAAGGUGGGGAUGACGUCAAGUCAUCAUGCCCCUUAUGUCCAGGGCUUCACGCAUGCUACAAUGGCUGGUACAGAGAGUGGCGAGCCUGUGAGGGUGAGCGAAUCUCGGAAAGCCGGUCUCAGUUCGGGUUGGGGUCUGCAACUCGACCUCAUGAAGUCGGAGUCGCUAGUAAUCGCAGAUCAGCAACGCUGCGGUGAAUACGUUCCCGGGGCU